AUUCUGCCCAUGCGGGGAAGGAUGAGAAGCUUCGACUAAGGUUCGGCUCGAGCGUCAGCGAGAGAGCGUUGCCGCAGGCAACGACCCGAAGGGCGAAGCGCGCAGCGCUGAGUAAUCC
rnacentral:sRNA from 1 species